CCUACGGGAGGCAGCAGUCGGGAAUAUUGCGCAAUGGACGAAACUCUGACGCAGUGACGCCGCGUGCAGGAAGAAGGUUUUCGGAUUGUAAACUGCUUCAGACAGGGCAGAAAAAAGACAGUACCUGUAGAAUAAGCUCCGGCUAACUACGUGCCAGCAGCCGCGGUAAUACGUAGGGAGCAAGCGUUAUCCGGAUUUAUUGGGUGUAAAGGGUGCGUAGACGGGAAAACAAGUUAGUUGUGAAAUCCCGCAGCUUAACUGAGGAACUGAAACUAAAACUAUUUUUCUUGAGUGCUGGAGAGGAAAGGGGAAUUCCUAGUGUAGCGGUGAAAUGCGUAGAUAUUAGGAGGAACACCAGUGGCGAAGGCGACUUUCUGGACAGUAACUGACGUUGAGGCACGAAAGUGUGGGGAGCAAACAGGAUUAGAUACCCCUGUAGUC
rnacentral:rRNA from 1 species